rnacentral:lncRNA from 1 species
CAAUUCUCUAUGCAGAAUUUGAAACGACCACUUUUUUUUUGCGUCCAGUAGCAUCGUAUUUUCUCGCAUAAUGCAUGGACAUCGGUGGACAUGCUACAUUACACAGUGUGACACGUUUACAAAUGAAAAUCAACACUCAGACUAGUCAUUAAGUAGGACAAUAAAUGAACAAAAGACAAACCGGGACACAGAAGUACAAACAAUAGACCAUCAACUCUGAAAACCAAAAGUAAAAUAGAAACAUGGAUUACGAAAAAUAUGCAGGGGCGACAUCAGAGAGUGAAGAGAACUUGCUUCUUGCAAGACACUUUCAGUGAAAACAAUUUGAUAUGAAGACAAUAUUUUGUUUUAGUUUGUAUUUUUUUAUGAAAUUUUAAACAUGAGGCAUUUGCCUCA